rnacentral:rRNA from 1 species
AGUGAACGCUGGCGGUAGGCCUAACACAUGCAAGUCGAACGGCAGCACAGUAAGAGCUUGCUCUUACGGGUGGCGAGUGGCGGACGGGUGAGGAAUACAUCGGAAUCUACUUUUUCGUGGGGGAUAACGUAGGGAAACUUACGCUAAUACCGCAUACGACCUACGGGUGAAAGCAGGGGAUCUUCGGACCUUGCGCGAUUGAAUGAGCCGAUGUCGGAUUAGCUAGUUGGCGGGGUAAAGGCCCACCUAGGCGACGAUCCGUAGCUGGUCUGAGAGGAUGAUCGGCCACACUGGAGCGGGGGCACGGUCAAGAGUCCUACGAGAGGCAGCAGUGGGGAAUAUUGGACAAUGGGGGGAAGCAUGAUCCAGCCAGAGGGCGUGGGUGAAGAAGGCCUUCGGGUUGUAAAGACCUUUUGUUGGGAAAGAAAAGCAGCAGGUUAAUACAACGCUGUACUGACGGUACCCGAAGAAGAAGCACCGGCUAACUACGUG